rnacentral:rRNA from 1 species
UACGUAGGGGGCAAGCGUUGUCCGGAUUUACUGGGCGUAAAGAGCGUGUAGGCGGCCACGCAGGUCCGUUGUGAAAACUGGAGGCUCAACCUUCAGACGUCGACGGAAACCGUAUGGCUAGAGUCCGGAAGAGGAGAGUGGAAUUCCUGGUGUAGCGGUGAAAUGCGCAGAUAUCAGGAAGAACACCCGUGGCGAAGGCGGCUCUCUGGAACGCAACUGACGCUGAGACGCGAAAGCGUGGGGAGCAAACAGG